rfam:Oryza nivara chromosome 1, whole genome shotgun sequence.
AAAAAGACAAAACCUGGGUUUCCGUGUCCAACGUUUGACUGUCCGUCUUAUAUGAAAUUUUUUUAUAAUUAGUAUUUUGUUUGUUGUUAAAUGAUAAAACAUGAUCAAUACUUUAUGUGUGACUUGUCUUUUUAAUUUUUUUAUAAUAUUUUAAAUAAGACGAACGAUUAAACGUUGGACA